rnacentral:rRNA from 1 species
AGCAGCCACGGUAAUUCCAGCUCCAAUAGCGUAUAUUAAAGUUGUUGCAGUUAAAAAGCUCGUAGUUGAAUUUCGGGACCAAUAUGUCGGUCGUGCCUCGGUACGUACUGGCAUCGUUGGUUUCUCCCUUCUGACGAACCAUGAUGUCAUUAAUUUGGUGUUGCGAGGAAUCUGGACUGUUACUUUGAAAAAUUAGAGUGUUUAAAGCAGGCUAACGCUUGAAUACAUUAGCAUGGAAUAAUGAAAUAGGACGUUCGAUCUUAUUUUGUUGGUUUCUAAGAUUGACGUAAUGAUUAAUAGGGAUAGUUGGGGGCA